rnacentral:lncRNA from 1 species
UGCUAUUUGCUUUUGAUGUUUAUCUGCUUAGCUUCUCAUCUCCUUUCUGUAGGAGUCGUAUGAUCAACUUUCAAGGAAGUUGAAUGUACGUAGAGAUAGACUUGAGUUGACUCACUGCCUGUGUGAGUCAAACUCUUGUUAGAAACCUCAACCUAGGACUAUUGUGGAUUACAUGAUAACUAUUAGGCUCGAGUCAGUCUCCCUUCUAGUUUGUCAUUUCCCAGUCUCUGGUUAGGAGAAAGUUUCUC